rnacentral:rRNA from 1 species
AUACGGAGGGUGCAAGCGUUAUCCGGAUUUAUUGGGUUUAAAGAGUGCGUAGGCGGUCUAUUAAGUCAGUGGUGAAAGCGAACAGCUUAACUGUUUGUCUACCAUUGAUACUGAUAGACUAGAGAAAAGUUGAGGUAUGUGGAAUUUAUGGUGUAGCGGUGAAAUGCAUAGAUACCAUAAAGAACACCAAUAGCGUAGGCAGCAUAUCAAGCUUUUUCUGACGCUCAAGCACGAAAGCAUGGGGAGCGAACAGGAUUAGAAACCCCGGUAGUCC